GUCUAUAGCCAUGCCACCCUGUCUGAUCUUGGAAGCUAAGCAAGGUUGUUCCUAGUUAGUACUUGGAUGGGAGACCACUUAGGAAGACCAGGUGCUGGAGGCA
rnacentral:rRNA from 1 species